rnacentral:rRNA from 1 species
AUUAGCAGCAGGCGCGAAAACUUUACAAUGCGGGAAACCGUGAUAAGGGAACACCGAGUGCCAGCAUCAUAUGCUGGCUGUCCAGAUGUGUAAACUACAUCUGUUAGCAAGGGCCGGGCAAGACCGGUGCCAGCCGCCGCGGUAAUACAAUCAAUUCUCCAGAAAGAAUCCUGACUCCACGGGUCUGACGCUUCAUGUACACAAAACUUCGCGUAUAUAGGAAAUUUUGUUGCUGCGUGAGAUUC